rnacentral:misc_RNA from 1 species
GAUGAAGAACGUAGCGAAAUGCGAUAAGUAAUGUGAAUUGCAGAAUUCAGUGAAUCAUCGAAUCUUUGAACGCACAUUGCGCCCUCUGGUAUUCCGGGGGGCAUGCCUGUUCGAGCGUCAUUAUAACCACUCAAGCUUUCGCUUGGUAUUGGGGCUCGCGGUUCCGCGGCCCCUAAAAUCAGUGGCGGUGCCUGUCGGCUCUACGCGUAGUAAUACUCCUCGCGAUUGAGUCCGGUAGGUCUACUUGCCAGCAACCCCCAAUUUUUACUGGUUGACCUCGGAUCAGGUAGGGAUACCCGCUGAACUUAAGCAUAUCAAUAAGCGGAGGA